AUUGAACGCUGGCGGCAUGCCUUACACAUGCAAGUCGAACGGCAGCACGGGAGCAAUCCUGGUGGCGAGUGGCGAACGGGUGAGUAAUACAUCGGAACGUGCCCAGUAGUGGGGGAUAACCCGGCGAAAGCCGGACUAAUACCGCAUACGACCUACGGGUGAAAGCGGGGGAUCGCAAGACCUCGCGCUAUCGGAGCGGCCGAUGUCAGAUUAGCUAGUUGGUGGGGUAAAGGCCUACCAAGGCGACGAUCUGUAGCUGGUCUGAGAGGACGACCAGCCACACUGGGACUGAGACACGGCCCAGACUCCUACGGGAGGCAGCAGUGGGGAAUUUUGGACAAUGGGCGCAAGCCUGAUCCAGCCAUGCCGCGUGCGGGAAGAAGGCCUUCGGGUUGUAAACCGCUUUUGUCAGGGAAGAAACGCUCCGGGCUAAUACCACGGAGUAAUGACGGUACCUGAAGAAUAAGCACCGGCUAGCUACGUG
rnacentral:rRNA from 1 species